rnacentral:rRNA from 1 species
CUUGAACGCUGUCGGCCGGCCUAACACAUGCAAGUCGAACGCGUGGCGGGCGGGUGAGUACUGUCUAGGAAACUGCGCGAUAGCGAGGGAUAACUAAGGGAAACAGUAGCUCAAAACGCAUCCCCUCCGAUUUGCCCCGAUGGGAUUUGCUAGACGGUGGGGUAACGGCUCACCUAGGCGACGAUCCCUUGCUGGUGUGAGAGGAUGACCAGCCAAACGGGAACUGAGACACGGUCCAGACUCCUACGGGAGGCAGCAGUGGGGAAUAUUGCACAAUGGGCGCAAGCCUGAUGCAGCCAUGACGCGUGUAUGAAGAAGGCUUUCGGGUUGUAAAGUACUUUCAGCGAGGAGGCGGUACUCGACGAAGAAGCACCGGCUAACUCCGUGCCAGCAGCCGCGGUAAUAC